GUCUCAUUCUCUUUCUCUCAGAUUUCUAAAUCUCAUAUUUACAAAAUGAUUAAGGAUCUUGAUAAUUUACAGUAUUUCCUUGGUCUCGAAAUAGUUGGAUCCAAGUCUGGAGUAUCUGUGUGUUAAAGGAAGUACACUUUGGAGUUGUUAGAAGAUUUCGGGAUGCUUGGUUGCAAGCCAACAACUACACCUAUGGACUUUCGCCAGAAACUUGCUGCUGAGUCUAGUGAGUGUUUCCGCGAUCCACAUCUCGAAUAAUGUUGUUUUUCAUAGAAUGACAAAGCAUAUCGAGUUGGAUUGUCAUUUUGUUAGAGAUCAAAUCAAGUCGGGGCUCUUGAAGCCAUUACACGUUUCUACCAAGGAUAGCUUGCGGAUACAUUGACUAAACAUGUGUAUGUGGAGCAAUUUCAGCAGAUUGUUGGCAAGAUGAACGCACAUUCCUUAAUUGCUCCAUCUUGAGGGGAGUAUUAGAUAUAUAGUUUUAUACCGAUUAUUUUUUUGUUUGGUUUAGCAUCGUGGUUUGAGUCGGUUUAGUUACUUCCUUGUUUGGAUACAGAUUUACUAUUUUGAUUUGUUGUUUUCGAUUGUAUAAAGAUUUGCUUCUUCAUUUUUC